GACGAACGCUGGCGGCGUGCCUAAUACAUGCAAGUAGAACGCUGAAGGAGGAGCUUGCUUCUCUGGAUGAGUUGCGAACGGGUGAGUAACGCGUAGGUAACCUGCCUGGUAGCGGGGGAUAACUAUUGGAAACGAUAGCUAAUACCGCAUAAUAGUAGAUGUUGCAUGACAUUUGCUUAAAAGGUGCAAUUGCAUCACUACCAGAUGGACCUGCGUUGUAUUAGCUAGUUGGUGGGGUAACGGCUCACCAAGGCGACGAUACAUAGCCGACCUAAGAGGGUGAUCGGCCACACUGGGACUGAGACACGGCCCAGACUCCUACGGGAGGCAGCAGUAGGGAAUCUUCGGCAAUGGACGGAAGUCUGACCGAGCAACGCCGCGUGAGUGAAGAAGGUUUUCGGAUCGUAAAGCUCUGUUGUAAGAGAAGAACGAGUGUGAGAGUGGAAAGUUCACACUGUGACGGUAUCUUACCAGAAAGGGACGGCUAACUACGUG
rnacentral:rRNA from 1 species